AGAGUUUGAUCAUGGCUCAGAUUGAACGCUGGCGGCAUGCUUUACACAUGCAAGUCGAACGGCAGCGCGGGCUUCGGCCUGGCGGCGAGUGGCGAACGGGUGAGUAAUGCAUCGGAACGUACCCAGUCGUGGGGGAUAACACAUCGAAAGAUGUGCUAAUACCGCAUACGUCCUGAGGGAGAAAGCGGGGGACCUUCGGGCCUCGCGCGAUUGGAGCGGCCGAUGUCAGAUUAGGUAGUUGGUGGGGUAAAGGCCUACCAAGGCGACGACGGGUAGCCGGCCUGAGAGGGCGACCGGCCACACUGGGACUGAGACACGGCCCAGACUCCUACGGGAGGCAGCAGUGGGGAAUUUUGGACAAUGGGCGCAAGCCUGAUCCAGCCAUGCCGCGUGAGUGAUGAAGGUCUUAGGAUUGUAAAGCUCUUUCACCGGUGAAGAUAAUGACGGUAACCGGAGAAGAAGCCCCGGCUAACUUCGUGCCAGCAGCCGCGGUAA
rnacentral:rRNA from 1 species